rnacentral:rRNA from 1 species
UACGUAGGGUGCAAGCGUUAAGCGGAAUUACUGGGGGUAAAGCGUGCGCAGGCGGUGAUGUAAGAGAGUUGGGAAAUCCCCGGGCUCAACCUGGGAACUGCAUCUGUGACUGCAUUGCUGGAGUGCGGCAGAGGGGGAUGGAAUUCCACGUGUAGCAGUGAAAUGCGUAGAGAUGUGGAGGAACACCGAUGGCGAAGGCAGCCCCCUGGGUUAACACUGACGCUCAGGCACGAAAGCGUGGGGAGCAAACAGG